rfam:Arabis alpina cultivar Pajares chromosome 8, whole genome shotgun sequence.
GUGACAGAAGAGAGUGAGCACACAUGGUGGCUUUCUUGCAUAUUUGGAUGUUUCAUGCUUGAAGCUAUGUGUGCUCACUCUCUCUCCGUCAC